UCGGCCCCUAGAGGCCCUGCAGGCUUGGCUGCUGUGUCAUAUGGGCAUCAGAAGGUGGCAGAGAGGAGAGAGGCAACAUCUAAGCUCAGUGUUCUGACCUAGGAACAUCUGAACAAUUAGUAGCCUGACAUU